rnacentral:rRNA from 1 species
GACGAACGCUGGCGGCGUGCUUAACACAUGCAAGUCGAGCGGAAAGGCCCUGCGUUUGUUCCUUUCUCGUUUGCCGAGCAGGGGUGUAACACGUGAGGAACCUGCACUUAUCUGUGUGGGAUCUUCACGGGACACGGGAUAUUACCCCGUAUGAUCUCUUGCUCCGUGUGGUGCAUUGGUAAGUUUCGGCUGUUGGGGCUGGGCUCGCGGCUUAUCAGCUUGUUGGUUGGGUAGUGGCUUACCAAGCCUUUGACGGGUAGCCGGCCUGAGAGGGUGACCGGCCACAUUGGGACUGAGAUACGGACCAGACUCCUACGGGAGGCAGCAGUGGAGAAUAUUGCACAGUGGGCGGAAGUCUGAUGCAGAAACGCCGCGUGCGGGAUGCCGGCCUUCGGGUUGUAAACAGCUUUCGCCUGUGACGAAGCGUGAGUGACGGUAAUGGGUAAAGAAGCAACGGCUAACUACGUG